CGUCAGAUGACCUUGUGCAUGGCGGGGUCCGCGCUCCAUCUCAUCCCGUUGUUCUGGGGAAGCGGUAGCGAUAUCACUGCUGGAGCGCGGUGAAAUAUAUUCCGCGUGAGCCAGGUGGACAGAAACCGACACAAGAGAAGAAGAGAGAGGAUUAUUCCACAAUAGCCUGCAUCAACCAAGCAGACCUGUUCUCAGAACACUCUUUGCAAGUUCCAACAUGCUCUAAUUAUAACAGAUGAGUAACAGUGUGUGGAAAAAUAACUGCCAAAGCAUUAAAUAAAUUAAAAAAAAAAAACCAAAGUCCCAAGGGGAGUUAUCGGAGAAGAAGCCAAUAUUAAAUGUUGGACAUACCUUUCUUCAGUUCGU